UAGGUGUUGUGGUGGCUGACCGUGG
rnacentral:piRNA from 1 species